UACGUAGGGUGCGAGCGUUAAUCGGAAUUACUGGGCGUAAAGCGUGCGCAGGCGGUUCGUUGUGUCGGCGGUGAAAGCCCCGGGCUCAACCUGGGAAUGGCCGUUGAAACUGGCGAACUGGAGUGUGGCAGAGGGGGGUGGAAUUCCGCGUGUAGCAGUGAAAUGCGUAGAGAUGCGGAGGAACACCGAUGGCGAAGGCAGCCCCCUGGGAUGACACUGACGCUCAGGCACGAAAGCGUGGGGAGCAAACAGG
rnacentral:rRNA from 1 species